CCAGGUGGAGCUGGACCUGGUGGCUUUGGACCAGGUGGAGCUGGACCUGGUGGAUUUGGACCAGGUGGAGCUGGACCUGGUGGAUUUGGACCAGGUGGAGCUGGAGGAUAUGGACCUGGAGGUCAAACAAGGAAGCCGCCUAAAUCAGGUUACGGUUCCUCCCUGGGUGGAACCGGCUAUGGACCAGGGGGCGGUGUCGGAGGGCUUCCCAGUUCUGGAACAGGCGGUGUUAUUGGAGGUGGAGGUGGCGUAGCAGGAGGCCCUGGAGGAGCAGGAGGCCCUGGAGGAGCAGGAGGCCCUGGAGGAGCAGGCCAGGGAGUAGGAGGAGCAGCAGGUGGUUUACCAGGUCGGUUUAAAC